rnacentral:rRNA from 1 species
AACGAACGCUGGCGGCAUGCCUAACACAUGCAAGUCGAACGAGAUCUUCGGGUCUAGUGGCGCACGGGUGCGUAACGCGUGGGAAUCUGCCCUUUGGUUCGGAAUAACAGUUGGAAACGACUGCUAACACCGGAUGAUGACGAAAGUCCAAAGAUUUAUCGCCAGAGGAUGAGCCCGCGUGGGAUUAGCUAGUUGGUGUGGUAAAGGCGCACCAAGGCGACGAUCCUUAGCUGGUCUGAGAGGAUGAUCAGCCACACUGGGACUGAGACACGGCCCAGACUCCUACGGGAGGCAGCAGUGGGGAAUAUUGGACAAUGGGCGCAAGCCUGAUCCAGCAAUGCCGCGUGAGUGAUGAAGGCCUUAGGGUUGUAAAGCUCUUUUACCCGGGAUGAUAAUGACAGUACCGGGAGAAUAAGCUCCGGCUAACUCCGUGCCAGCCGCCGCAGUAA